AUUCCAGCUCCAAUAGCGUAUACUAAAGUUGUUGCAGUUAAAAAGCUCGUAGUUGAAUUUCUGGUCUUGGACAGCGGUCUGCCUCAAACGAGGUACGCACCAUCUAUCCGAGUCCAUCCUCGGGGAAAACAUGUCUGUGAUUCAGUUCAUGGGCAUGGGAUCCUCGUCAUUUACUGUGAGCAAAAUAGAGUGUUCAAAGCAGGCUUAUGCCGUUGAAUAUUUUAGCAUGGAAUAAUAAGAUAAGACCUUGGUCUAUUUUGUUGGUUUGUACUCCAAGGUAAUGAUUAAUAGGGACAGUUGGGGGUAUUCGUAUUCAAUUGUCAGAGGUGAAAUUCUUGGAUUUAUUGAAGACGAACUACUGCGAAAGCAUUUACCAAGGAUGUUUUCAUCA
rnacentral:rRNA from 1 species